rnacentral:tRNA from 1 species
GGGCUGAUUAAACGUCCGAUGCGACGUGACUCUUAAUCAGCGGGUCCACGGUUCGAGCCCGUGAUCACCCACCA